UGGGACCUUAAUUUGAAUCCUGUGCGCGA
rnacentral:sRNA from 1 species